GAGAGGGGGUGACUAGUGACCGAGUGAGGGAGGGAGUGGGUGACUAGUGACAGAGUGAGGAAGGGGGUGACACAGUGAUAGUCACCCCAUUCCUCCCUCUGUCACUAAUCACCACCUCCCUCACCUCACUAGUCUCACUCUGUCACUAGUCACACCCUCCCUCUCUCUGUCACUAGUCACACCCUUACUCACUGUCACUAGUCACACCCUCCCUCUC